AUUGAACGCUGGCGGCAUGCCUUACACAUGCAAGUCGAACGGCAGCGGGGGAGAAGCUUGCUUUUCCUGCCGGCGAGUGGCGAACGGGUGAGUAAUACAUCGGAACGUGCCCUGUAGUGGGGGAUAACUAGUCGAAAGAUUAGCUAAUACCGCAUACGACCUGAGGGUGAAAGUGGGGGACCGCAAGGCCUCAUGCUAUAGGAGCGGCCGAUGUCUGAUUAGCUAGUUGGUGGGGUAAAGGCCUACCAAGGCGACGAUCAGUAGCUGGUCUGAGAGGACGGACAGCCACACUGGGACUGAGACACGGCCCAGACUCCUACGGGAGGCAGAAGUGGGGAAUUUUGGACAAUGGGCGAAAGCCUGAUCCAGCAAUGCCGCGUGUGUGAAGAAGGCCUUCGGGUUGUAAAGCACUUUUGUCCGGAAAGAAAUGGCUCUGGUUAAUACCUGGGGUCGAUGACGGUACCGGAAGAAUAAGGACCGGCUAACUACGUGCCAGCAGCCGCCGUAACAC
rnacentral:rRNA from 1 species